CGGAUGAAUACGUGACACCCCGCACUUGCCAAAACAAAUUUAAAAAUCACCUUCUCAGGUGGAAUUUAGCCCACUUAAUACUCUGCCUGCUUCUGCUCCACAAAAGUGCUAAAUGUCAGUCUUACCAAUGAAUGAUUACAUUGCAGCAGGCCCAAUAUUCUCUCAGUUCUUCACUGCUGACAACUAUACUGUGGUGAGAUGGAGGGUUGUCAUUUCUGAAGCUUCAGAGUCCUGCUGGUACCACCAAUGCCCAUUGGAUUGCC